GCUCGCGAGCGUGGGCACGCGUCCGCGGCGGUGCCAGCUCGGCCUCCUCGCCCCGCGGCUAUAUAAGCCAGCCCCGACCCCUCCCGAGCUCACCACUCGACCUCAUGCCCUCCACUACCCCUCCCCAGCCAGUCAAACGAUCUCGAGGAGCUCUCGGUCGCCAUCAUUGCCGCCAUGGCCGCCGCGGCCUCCCUCCUAAAUUAGCGCGAAGCCGGCCCCCUCCCUCCCUCAUUCCUUCACCAGAGAACUCUCCUCGGCCCCCUGAUCCUCCCCACCUACUUGCCCCUCGACGGAGUGCCCCGCAGCCCCAAAGCCGAACCCCACCCGAAGCCAUCUCCGCCGGAGUCCGCGCCCUCGUCGCUCCGGUCCUCCUCGGCGUCCGUGUCCAGGCGGGAUGGAUGCGGCGCCUCUUCCCGAUCUCCCCGGUGCCCGUAGCCUCGCCGGAGGCGGUCUGUGACGCCGGAGCUCGUCGCCGGAGCGCGCCGGUCCUCCUCUGCAUCGCGGGCGAGCGGGAGGAGGAAGAAGGAGCUAGGCCGGGCGGGCCCCAUCUCCACGCGGCCCCACCUGUCGGCGGGUAGGCGUUGACCCUGCCUGCCUAGUUAGAUAAGUGACGGGCCCCACAGCCCGUGGGACCCGCACGUCAGCUGCUCAAGCCCCUGCCCCGCCUCUGCCACGUGUUUAAGUGGAGGCGUACUCGGUUGAGUACGUUUUCACCUUCGGGAAAGGGCAUUUUCCCUCUGCUUUAGCUCAAAGGACUUGUUUGUGGUGAUAUUUUUGCAGAAAAGUCCCUGAACUUCAACCCUUCAUAUCUUUUUAAACACAACUCCAAAUGAGCCCCUCCGAGAGAGAACUGUUUCUGGCAAAUCUUUUCGCG